UACGGAAGGCACGCAGUGGGGAAUAUUGCACAAUGGGCGAAAGCCUGAUGCAGCUAUGCCGCGUGUAUGAAGAAGGCCUUAGGGUUGUAAAGUACUUUCAUCGGGGAGGAAAAAACAAAACUAAUAAUUUUAUUUCUUGACGUUACCCGAAAAAGAAGCACCGGCUAACUCCGUGCCAGCAGCCGCGGUAAUACGGAGGGUGCUAGCGUUAAUCAGAAUUACUGGGCGUAAAGAGCACGUAGGUGGUUUUUUUAAGUCAGAUGUGAAAUCCCUGGGCUUAACCUAGGAACUGCAUUUUGAAACUGAAAUACUAGAGUAUCGUAGAGGGAGGUAGAAUUCUAGGUGUAGCGGUGAAAUGCGUAGAUAUCUGGAGGAAUACCUGUGGCGAAAGCGGCCUCCUAAACGAAUACUGACACUGAGGGUGCGAAAGCGUGGGGAGCAAAACAGGGAUUAGAUACC
rnacentral:rRNA from 1 species